AUUAUUUUCCCAUUCAUAAGCAUGAUGAAUAGGUGUUCACAUGGUUGUGUGACAUGUGCCUCCCUUAAAUCUUGUUAUGCACUUGGCAUACUACUUAUCUGAUG